CUUACAAAUGCAGCAUUUUAAAAUCUUCAUUGCUUCUUUUGUUCAGUUUAAUAAAAGUUGUCUGGGCAGCUAAUCUAUUCCAGGCACAGUGGAGGAAACAGUAGACGCAAAAUGGCUAUGGUUUAAACCCUACCCUCAGAGAGCUCAGAGCCUAAUGGGAGAGAACAGAAUUGACAAAUCACAAUACUGUUAUGCAAGUUUUGCAACAAUAGCAGUGUGUAGAAAGGAUAGCAGCAAAACAGGGAGAGAAUAGUUAUCUCAGGAGGGAGAGAUUUCACUGUGUGACUGUCUUCUCCUUUCAACUCAGAAUGUUACAUACAUUUUUAAGAAUGAGCAGCUCUGCACAAGAACAGAUUAACAGCAUCUAAGCAACUCAAGAGUACAUAUCUUCGCUCUCGUUGCCCAGGCUGGAGUGCAAUGGUGCGAUCUCAGCUCACUGCAACCUCCUCCUCCUAGGUUCAAGUGAUUCUCUAUCCUCAGCCUCCGGAGUAGAGACCAGAAGAAUGUACAUUACCACAACAGCAUUAGUUGUAUUGCAUUGUUUGGUUACAGGUGAUUUUGUUUUUCUUUUUCCACAUUUAUUUUCCACAUAUUAUUCCACAUAGAAUAAUAAAUCCUUGAGUGGUCUAUUUUACUUCAGAGUAACUA
rnacentral:lncRNA from 10 species